ACCAUUCCAAUCAAACCUUUUCUACUCCACCGCACCACCUCCUUUGCACCCAUUUCUUUCGAAGCUUUGGAAGUAGGUGAAGUGAAUUUUUGGUUUGAUUUUGGAAGAGUGGAGCCGGUAGAAGCAAGAAGGGGGGAAGGAAAUUAGUCUUUGGUUACCUCUGGUCACCAUAAACGGCAGCAUCAACGGCGGAGCAGAGGCUGUGGCUAGGUUGUUUUUUUUUUUUUUUAAAGUAGAAGAGGAAGAGAAAGGGAACGACAAUUUGUAUAAUAUACGAUUUCCAUUAGUUUUGGCGAGAAAGACUAUCAUUUUAAUAAAUGGUGAAAAAGACUAUUUUCUAAAAACCUGAGUUUAUAUAUUUCUUUUUAAUACAAUGAAAUUAUUAUUUUUUAUUUUUAAGUGUUUU
rnacentral:lncRNA from 1 species